rnacentral:lncRNA from 1 species
ACAGGUGUGGGACUCAGAAGACAACUUCAUUCUUUCAGGAAUGAGUUCCCUUCCAUGUGGCUUUCUGGGACGGUGUGCCAUUUAUCAAGGACAAAUGUUUUUAGCAGCUGGACUGCAGUAUCUCCCAGCAAUUAUUUUCCUAAGAAGAGAGCAGAAUAUCUCUCCACAGAAUAUUGCUGCAGUUGUGUGUCUCCAAGAUGAGCCUCUCUGCCAUCUCCCUGGGACAAAAGAAGCAAUCAGGAGAAACUGAGGUGACUGCUUAUCUCCCUGCAGCCUGCCUUCCUGUUACCAUGGCUGCACUGCCCUGCUUGCCUACCAGCUCGGCAUGGUUGGUUUCAACACUAGAGAGGCAGCUGCAGAAGAAGUAGAAUUCAAGAGCCCAGUCUAGCCAGAGCAAGCCCUGUGAUAGUGGGUGGUUCUCAAUGCCCUCUUCAAAUGAACUGCUCUUGACAGACACCACAGACUUGUGAGGUGUGACCCAACAUCAGUACUGCUGGACACAGACGAUCCUUCACACCUUCCUCUCGAGCCACAGGUUCUCCUUUAGUCUCCUUUGGUGGUGAAAUAGAUGCAAAUAUAAAGGACGUGGAGGAGAUGGCUUUAAAAAAAAAAAAAAAAAAGAAAGAAAGAAAAAGAGGAGGAGGAGAAGGAGGAAGAAGAAGAAGAGGAGAAGGAACAACAAGAGGAAGAGGAAGAGAAGGAGGAGGAGGCAGCAGCGGCGGCGGCAGCAACGGCACCAUCACCAUCUCCACCACAUUUUAUUUACCUCUUUAGACAGAAAGCUACCAUCACUUCGAAGCUACCAAACUUAGUGGGUUACAAGGAAAGAGAGGGUCAUAAAGUGGGGGCCAUGGAGGUAGGGAGUGGAUCCAGAAGUUAGGCAGGAGAAUGGGAUGGUAACUCUGAUCAAAAGCAAAACACAUGUGUGACUGUAUGCAAUUCUCAAAGAAUAAACACACUACACGUUAAAACAAAACCUACAAGAAAGUUCCAUCUACAGGCACCCAGGGAUCUGACAGGAACGAAGCCCAGAUAAAGCACAGGGCAGUAGUGUGUACUCUAGGGCAGAGGCAAGCCGGGAAUGGUGUUUGACUAGAGAUAGGUAUUUGAUUCACUUUCUUGAUUUUUAAUACUGGAAAUUGGAACCGAAAAGUAAUUAUUUUUCCUUGAGCUCUUGCUAGGGGUUGAGCUAGGUGCUGUCUACAAAUUAUUUUAUUAAAUCCUUACAGCAGUUCUUCUAGGUUUCUGAGAUUAUCAGUCCUGUGUUACAGCUGAAGAGCUAAUAUCUGGGGGUAGACUGAGGAGGUAGUACCACUGUUAUCAAGAGAAGAGAUCCUGUUCUUCGGUCUAGCAAGUGACCCAGAGGCCAACAUAAAGCAAGUACCCAGAAAGCGCUCACUGGCCCCUAAGGACUGGAGAAAGAGCACCGAAAGCCAUACAGGGGAGGCUUUCUGAUUCUGUGUAUGAUGCACUCAGCCAGAAUUCAUGUACAUGCCUCAAUUACUGAGGAGACAGUAUUUUCUUGCUGAAUCAAUCGAAUGGAAAUGAUGCAUCUAACUCCAUGUCCUAUUUUAGAACUGAAAAUGGUUCAACUUGGAACUAUUUCCAUG